rnacentral:rRNA from 1 species
UACGAAGGGGGCUAGCGUUGCUCGGAAUCACUGGGCGUAAAGCGCACGUAGGCGGGUCGUUUAAGUCGGGGGUGAAAUCCUGGAGCUCAACUCCAGAACUGCCUUCGAUACUGGCGACCUUGAGUCCGGGAGAGGUGAGUGGAACUCCGAGUGUAGAGGUGAAAUUCGUAGAUAUUCGGAAGAACACCAGUGGCGAAGGCGGCUCACUGGCCCGGUACUGACGCUGAGGUGCGAAAGCGUGGGGAGCAAACAGG